GACCUAUUCACCUGCAGAUAGAAGAAGUAUCUCAGAAAACUACUUGCUAGUCAAGCCAAGGGUUUGCAUAUUGGUCUUGAUUCAACUGGCAAUUUCAUCAGCUCGGGUGAUUCAGCAGUCAGCAUUAUCACUGCAGUUCAGGAAAAUCGAAACCAAGAGCAAGUUCAGUAAAGAGUGAAAAGCGCUGCGCAGCAGACGUCUGUGUAGAGAUGGAAAACCAGGAGCAAAGUGCAGAUCAGGGGAAAAUCCAAAGAGUGCCCACUCCUCCUCCUAUUCCACCAAAUCCCCAGAUUAAUCUGCCUUUCGAAGAACGACGUUUUGUGAGUCGGGCAAAUUGUCACAAGUGCCGGAAGAAGGAAGCCCAGCGAACUAUGAGUUAUGAGGACUACCAGAGAUGGAUUGCUCGCAGACGAGGAAUGUUCGUUGAAAGCAAGUUGCAAAGACAGAACAAUGGAGCGAAGAUAAUAAACACUGAUAUUUCAAAUGUGAAGAAAAUAAAAGUACAUAUUUCAAAUGUGAAGAAAAUACAAAUUGAUAUUGCAAGUGUAAAAGUAUUUUUAAAUAAAUAUUUUAAAUGUGAAGAAAAUAAAAGUAGACAUUUCAAAUGUGAAGAAAUACAAAUUGAUAUUGCAAGUGUAUUUUAAAAUAAAUAUUUUAAAUGUGAAGAAAAUAAAAGUAGAUAUUUCAUAUGUGAAGAAAAUACAUUGAUAUUUUAAAUGUAAAGAAAAUAAAAGUAGAUAUUUCAAAUGUGAUGAAACUAAAAAUUGAUAUUUUAAAUGUGAGGAAAAUAAAAGUAGAUAUUUCAAAUGUGAUGAAACUAAGAAUUCAUAUUUCAAAUGCAUGCUAUCAAAUUAUAAAAUGUAUUCAACUAUACGGUUGGCAGUUCUGCACUGAUUAAAGGAGUGACGCAUAUUCUAUGUACAUUACAUUAUGGUGGUGUAUCUAAACUUUUCCGAGCGCUCUUAAGUUUUGUGUGUAUUCUGCGUGGUUUUCAAGAGAAUCCCAUGAGUCAGUCGAUUUGCAAAAUGCAACCGGCAGUCGAACUGAAUUCCAUUGCGAAAUAGAUGGCGAUAGUCGAGGCUUGGAGCUGCCAGUGAAAUGCCGAGAGUUUUGACUUGUCCCAACUGCGAUUCGCAGUCCAUGGUGUAUAAACGUCGCCUGGCCAUCUCGCGAUUCAAGAAGUUCAAGAUGGAUUUUUGUGCCCUAUGCUGCGGUCGUCGAUAUUGUGGAGUCGGCAUCUAUGACACCUGCCACAAAUGCAGUUCCUGUGGCUGGAAAGGCGAUCCUGACCGAUCUCACUAAGCUGUCAUACCUAUGAAAUACUUAUCUCAUUUAUAAAUAAAGAGGCAAUUCUGUUUCAACAAAAGUUUCUAUCAGCUGUUGCAUUUGGCGCCUGCUGUUCCACAAGUUGGAGCUGAAUAUAUACGAAAAGCUUUCGAGCUUUGGGAGUACACUGUCAAAAAUUACUUACGUUUCAAUAAUUAAUAUUAAUAGUAACAAGAAUUUACAUCCACAAAACUGAAAUCAGCUUCUCCCUUUAGUAAAAGAAUUUUUUGAAUAAAAGUUCUGGCCAGGAUCAUGAUUUAUUAAACAAGCUCCGUUUGUAAAAUUUGUUGCCUACUUGUGUGCGUAAAUAAAAUAUAACUUAUACUAUGAUACUAGUAUAGAUACACUUACCAUUCAGUUAGCUAGUUUGUCAGUAUUUUCACAAAAAAAAAAAAACUAGCAGAAAUGAGCUGAAUAUUAAAAUUGACCGAUUCCUACAUUUUUGAUUUGAAGACCUUAAAAUAAAUGUACAACUGUUAUCGCAUCGAUGAUAUAUACAUUUGACAUACAUACAUUUAUAUGUAUGUCAUAUGACAGCAUCAUACAGUCGAUUUCUUUGCCGGCAUCUUGCAUUGGUUCGUAAAUAUACAAACAUACAAGUAUACGAAAAGCUUGUUGAUAACAGCGGUGUCUUAUCAGUUCAGCUUAAUCUUGUUUCUAGAUUUCGGGAGUAGAGUUUCGAGGCUCAAGAAGUGGCUCGUCGACUGAGCUUAGUUCUGGAAAGAUGCCGUUCAAUAGCACACCAGCAUUUAAGGGGCGAUCCGUGGAGGUUUACAGAACUUUAUCCGAACCGAAGGCCACAGAUACGAAUUCCGAAGCGAAAGAUACAUCCCAAGAAUGCCUAAAUUCUGAGGACCUAAAGUUGUCGUGGAGCCAAAGAUUGUGGUUUAGUGCACGGUCCUCUUGUUGCUGCGGACAACCGAUAAAUAAAUAUGCUAGUGAUAAUAUGAAUGGGUAAUGCAACUUUUAAAGACGGUUGUUUCAAUCUCAAACGUUAAUUUGAUUAAAUAUGUAUGUAUGUACAUAUGUAGAACAUUAUUUAUAAAAUGAUUAAAUAAAAUGCAAUACCUGCUUUUGACUCAGCUAA